rnacentral:rRNA from 1 species
ACACUCCUAGCGGGAGGCAGCAGUGGGGAAUAUUGCACAAUGGGCGCAAGCCUGAUGCAGCCAUGCCGCGUGUAUGAAGAAGGCCUUCGGGUUGUAAAGUACUUUCAGCGGGGAGGAAGGCAAUACGGUUAAUAACCGUGUUGAUUGACGUUACCCGCAGAAGAAGCACCGGCUAACUCCGUGCCAGCAGCCGCGGUAAUACGGAGGGUGCAAGCGUUAAUCGGAAUUACUGGGCGUAAAGCGCACGCAGGCGGUCUGUCAAGUCGGAUGUGAAAUCCCCGGGCUCAACCUGGGAACUGCAUUCGAAACUGGCAGGCUUGAGUCUUGUAGAGGGGGGUAGAAUUCCAGGUGUAGCGGUGAAAUGCGUAGAGAUCUGGAGGAAUACCGGUGGCGAAGGCGGCCCCCUGGACAAAGACUGACGCUCAGGUGCGAAAGCGUGGGGAGCAAACAGGAUUAGAUACCCCGGUAGUCCCAUGAU